rnacentral:rRNA from 1 species
CUACGGGUGGCUGCAGUGGGGAAUAUUGCACAAUGGAGGAAACUCUGAUGCAGCAACGCCGCGUGGAGGAUGACACUUUUCGGAGCGUAAACUCCUUUUAUAUAGGAAGAAGAUGACGGUACUAUAUGAAUAAGCGCCGGCUAACUCCGUGCCAGCAGCCGCGGUAAUACGGAGGGCGCAAGCGUUACUCGGAAUCACUGGGCGUAGAGAGCGUGUAGGCGGAUUAAAAAGUCAGAAGUGAAAUCCUAUAGCUUAACUAUAGAACUGCUUCUGAAACUCUUAAUCUAGAAUAUGGGAGAGGAAGACGGAAUUUAGGGUGUAGGGGUAAAAACAGGAGAGAUCAGAAGGAAUACCGAUUGCGAAGGCGAUAUACUAGAACAUUAUUGACGCUGAGACGCGAAAGCGUGGGGAGCAAACAGGAUUAGAUACCCCAGUAGUC